rnacentral:rRNA from 1 species
AGGAAAAGAAAUCAACCGAGAUUCCCCUAGUAGCGGCGAGCGAACGGGGAGCAGCCCUUAAGCUGUUUAGAAUUUAGUGGAAUCCUUUGGGAAGAGGAGCGAUACAAGGUGAUAGCCCUGUACACGACGGAUUCUUUACAGUGAAAUCGAGUAGGUCGGGACACGUGUUAUCUUGACUGAAUAUGGGGGGACCAUCCUCCAAGGCUAAAUACUCCUAACUGACCGAUAGUGAACCAGUACCGUGAGGGAAAGGCGAAAAGAACCCCGGAGAGGGGAGUGAAAUAGAACCUGAAACCGUAUGCGUACAAGCAGUGGGAGCCUACUUUGUUGGGUGACUGCGUACCUUUUGUAUAAUGGGUCAGCGACUUAUAUUUAGUAGCAAGGUUAAGUGAAUAACGGAGCCGUAGCGAAAGCGAGUGUUAACUGCGCGUUUAGUUGCUAGGUAUAGACCCGAAACCCGGUGAUCUAGCCAUGAGCAGGUUGAAGGUUGAGUAACAUCAACUGGAGGACCGAACCCACUAACGUUGAAAAGUUAGGGGAUGACUUGUGGCUGGGGGUGAAAGGCCAAUCAAACCGGGAGA